GACGAACGCUGGCGGCGUGCUUAACACAUGCAAGUCGAACGGUAAGGCUCCAGCUUGCUGGGUUACACGAGUUGCGAACGGGUGUGUAACACGUGGGUGACCUGCCCUGCACUUCGGGAUAAUCCUGGGAAACUGGAUCUAAUACCGGAUAGGACCAUGGUGUUGAUACUUUGGUGGAAAGUUUUUUCGUGGUGGGAUGGGUCCGCCGCCUAUCAAUUUGUUGGUGGGGUAAUGGCCUACCAAGGCGGUGACGGGUAGCCGACCUGAGAGGGUGGAGGGCAACAUUAGGACUGAGCCACGGCACAGACUCCUCCGGGAGGCAGGAGUGGGGAAGAUUGCACAAUGGGAGGAAGCGUGAUGCAGUGCAGCAGCGUGGGGGAUGACGUCCUGCGGGUUGUAACGUAAUUUCCCCAUCGAUGAAGAGUUUAUGACGGUAGAUGGAGAAGAAGCACCGGCUAACUACGUG
rnacentral:rRNA from 1 species